UACGUAGGCAGCAAGCGUUGUUCGGAGUUACUGGGCGUAAAGGGUGCGUAGGCGGCCUUAUAAGUAUGGUGUGAAAUCUCCCGGCUUAACUGGGAGGGUGCGCUAUAGACUGUGGGGCUAGAGUGUGGGGAGAGGAAAGUGGAAUUCCUGGUGUAGCGGUGAAAUGCGUAGAUAUCAGGAGGAACACCGGUGGCGAAGGCGGGUCUCUGGGCCGAUACUGACGCUGAGGAGCGAAAGCGUGGGGGAGCAAACAGG
rnacentral:rRNA from 1 species